rnacentral:rRNA from 1 species
CCUACGUGCGGCUGCAGUGGGGAAUAUUGGACAAUGGGCGAAAGCCUGAUCCAGCCAUGCCGCGUGUGUGAAGAAGGCCUUCGGGUUGUAAAGCACUUUCAGUGGGGAAGAAAGCCUUGGGGCUAAUACCCUCGAGGAAGGACAUCACCCACAGAAGAAGCACCGGCUAACUCCGUGCCAGCAGCCGCGGUAAUACGGAGGGUGCGAGCGUUAAUCGGAAUUACUGGGCGUAAAGCGCGCGUAGGCGGUCUGAUAAGCCGGUUGUGAAAGCCCCGGGCUCAACCUGGGAACGGCAUCCGGAACUGUCAGGCUAGAGUGCAGGAGAGGAAGGUAGAAUUCCCGGUGUAGCGGUGAAAUGCGUAGAGAUCGGGAGGAAUACCAGUGGCGAAGGCGGCCUUCUGGACUGACACUGACGCUGAGGUGCGAAAGCGUGGGUAGCAAACAGGAUUAGAUACCCCGGUAGUUC